GUCUGAAUAUGGGGGGCCCAUCCUCCAAGGCUAAAUACUCCUGACUGACCGAUAGUGAACCAGUACCGUGAGGGAAAGGCGAAAAGAACCCCGGCGAGGGGAGUGAAAAAGAACCUGAAACCGUGUACGUACAAGCAGUGGGAGCACGCUUAGGCGUGUGACUGCGUACCUUUUGUAUAAUGGGUCAGCGACUUAUAUUCUGUAGCAAGGUUAACCGAAUAGGGGAGCCGAAGGGAAACCGAGUCUUAACUGGGCGUUAAGUUGCAGGGUAUAGACCCGAAACCCGGUGAUCUAGCCAUGGGCAGGUUGAAGGUUGGGUAACACUAACUGGAGGACCGAACCGACUAAUGUUGAAAAAUUAGCGGAUGACUUGUGGCUGGGGGUGAAAGGCCAAUCAAACCGGGAGAUAGCUGGUUCUCCCCGAAAGCUAUUUAGGUAGCGCCUCGUGAAUUCAUCUCCGGGGGUAGAGCACUGUUUCGGCAAGGGGGUCAUCCCGACUUACCAACCCGAUGCAAACUGCGAAUACCGGAGAAUGUUAUCACGGGAGACACACGGCGGGUGCUAACGUCCGUCGUGAAGAGGGAAACAACCCAGACCGCCAGCUAAGGUCCCAAAGUCAUGGUUAAGUGGGAAACGAUGUGGGAAGGCCCAGACAGCCAGGAUGUUGGCUUAGAAGCAGCCAUCAUUUAAAGAAAGCGUAAUAGCUCACUGGUCGAGUCGGCCUGCGCGGAAGAUGUAACGGGGCUAAACCAUGCACCGAAGCUGCGGCAGCGACGCUUAUGCGUUGUUGGGUAGGGGAGCGUUCUGUAAGCCUGCGAAGGUGUGCUGUGAGGCAUGCUGGAGGUAUCAGAAGUGCGAAUGCUGACAUAAGUAACGAUAAAGCGGGUGAAAAGCCCGCUCGCCGGAAGACCAAGGGUUCCUGUCCAACGUUAAUCGGGGCAGGGUGAGUCGACCCCUAAGGCGAGGCCGAAAGGCGUAGUCGAUGGGAAACAGGUUAAUAUUCCUGUACUUGGUGUUACUGCGAAGGGGGGACGGAGAAGGCUAUGUUGGCCGGGCGACGGUUGUCCCGGUUUAAGCGUGUAGGCUGGUUUUCCAGGCAAAUCCGGAAAAUCAAGGCUGAGGCGUGAUGACGAGGCACUACGGUGCUGAAGCAACAAAUGCCCUGCUUCCAGGAAAAGCCUCUAAGCAUCAGGUAACAUCAAAUCGUACCCCAAACCGACACAGGUGGUCAGGUAGAGAAUACCAAGGCGCUUGAGAGAACUCGGGUGAAGGAACUAGGCAAAAUGGUGCCGUAACUUCGGGAGAAGGCACGCUGAUAUGUAGGUGAAGUCCCUUGCGGAUGGAGCUGAAAUCAGUCGAAGAUACCAGCUGGCUGCAACUGUUUAUUAAAAACACAGCACUGUGCAAACACGAAAGUGGACGUAUACGGUGUGACGCCUGCCCGGUGCCGGAAGGUUAAUUGAUGGGGUCAGCGCAAGCGAAGCUCUUGAUCGAAGCCCCGGUAAACGGCGGCCGUAACUAUAACGGUCCUAAGGUAGCGAAAUUCCUUGUCGGGUAAGUUCCGACCUGCACGAAUGGCGUAAUGAUGGCCAGGCUGUCUCCACCCGAGACUCAGUGAAAUUGAACUCGCUGUGAAGAUGCAGUGUACCCGCGGCAAGACGGAAAGACCCCGUGAACCUUUACUAUAGCUUGACACUGAACAUUGAGCCUUGAUGUGUAGGAUAGGUGGGAGGCUUUGAAGUGUGGACGCCAGUCUGCAUGGAGCCGGCCUUGAAAUACCACCCUUUAAUGUUUGAUGUUCUAACGUGGACCCGUGAUCCGGGUUGCGGACAGUGUCUGGUGGGUAGUUUGACUGGGGCGGUCUCCUCCUAAAGAGUAACGGAGGAGCACGAAGGUUGGCUAAUCCUGGUCGGACAUCAGGAGGUUAGUGCAAUGGCAUAAGCCAGCUUGACUGCGAGCGUGACGGCGCGAGCAGGUGCGAAAGCAGGUCAUAGUGAUCCGGUGGUUCUGAAUGGAAGGGCCAUCGCUCAACGGAUAAAAGGUACUCCGGGGAUAACAGGCUGAUACCGCCCAAGAGUUCAUAUCGACGGCGGUGUUUGGCACCUCGAUGUCGGCUCAUCACAUCCUGGGGCUGAAGUAGGUCCCAAGGGUAUGGCUGUUCGCCAUUUAAAGUGGUACGCGAGCUGGGUUUAGAACGUCGUGAGACAGUUCGGUCCCUAUCUGCCGUGGGCGCUGGAGAACUGAGGGGGGCUGCUCCUAGUACGAGAGGACCGGAGUGGACGCAUCACUGGUGUUCGGGUUGUCAUGCCAAUGGCACUGCCCGGUAGCUAAAUGCGGAAGAGAUAAGUGCUGAAAGCAUCUAAGCACGAAACUUGCCCCGAGAUGAGUUCUCCCUGACCCUUUAAGGGUCCUGAAGGAACGUUGAAGACGACGACGUUGAUAGGCCGGGUGUGUAAGCGCAGCGAUGCGUUGAGCUAACCGGUACUAAUGAACCGUGAGG
rnacentral:rRNA from 1 species